CUUUAUCUUUCUGGAAUGCUUCGAAACCCAGCAUAGCUUCUAUGGGAACCUUGCUUUUUUCCUACUCACUUAUGUGGCUUGGCAAAUAACUUCUAUGCCUGAAAGAUGAUGGUUUCAUAAUUGUAAGAUAUAAAAGUACUGUUUGAUUAGUGGGAGCAGGUCUACCACAAGUGGCGCCCAAACAGGGACCUGAAUACAAGAGGUACAGUGAAGGACACCGCUGGAUAAAGAAGACACAGGAGAUAUCCCCAAAAAGAAAAAAGAAAAAAAGAGGGCCUUCAAAAGGAAGGCAAAAGAGGAGGGCUUAUAGUUCUCAAGGAAUCCAACAGAAUUUAUUAGUGAUUCAACAAGGUCUGGACUAAGAACACAAGAAAAAAGAGCAACUCCUGCUCCCAGUUUAAAACACACCAGGUAGAAACUUCUCUAGCCAGCCUUCUGAAUCUGACCUUCUAGCAUGACAAGACAACAUUCAGGAUACCAUGCUGCUUAGAAGGUCAAUGCUACUGCUUUGUAUUGUCUUGAAUUUUACCCUUUGACACCAC
rnacentral:lncRNA from 1 species